AAGUCAUAAUUACGAGAUAAAAAAGUUGUAAUUAUGAGAUAAAAAGUCAUAAUUGCGAGAUAAAAAGUCAUAAUUAUGAGAUAAAAAGUCAUAAUUAUGAGAUAAAAAGUCGUAAUUAUGAGUUUUCCAGUGCGCGUGUGCAUCACUCCCUCACAGAUGCAGAGGCUCAGCGAACCUGUUUGCUUGACUU